rnacentral:rRNA from 1 species
AGUGAACGCUGGCGGCGUGCUUAACACAUGCAAGUCGAACGAGAACGGAUUAUAGCUUGCUAUAAUUGUCAGCUAAGUGGCGCACGGGUGAGUAAUGUAUAGGUAAUAUGCCUCUUACUAAGGGAUAACAAAUGGAAACGUUUGCUAAUACCUUAUACUCCUUAUUAACAGAAGUUAAUAAGGGAAAGAUUUAUUGGUAUGAGAUUAGCCUGUAUUGUAUCAGUUAGUUGGUGGGGUAAUGGCCUACCAAGACUAUGACACAUAACUGGUUUGAGAGGAUGAUCAGUCACACUGGAACUGAGACACGGUCCAGACUCCUACGGGAGGCAGCAGUGGGGAAUAUUGCACAAUGGACGAAAGUCUGAUGCAGCAACGCCGCGUGGAGGAUGACACAUUUCGGUGCGUGAACUCCUUUUAUAUGAGAAGAUAAUGACGGUAUUAUAUGAAUAAGCACCGGCUAACUCCGUGCCAGCCGCCGCCGUAA